AUUGAACGCUGGCGGCAUGCCUUACACAUGCAAGUCGAACGGCAGCGGGGUAGUGCUUGCACUACUGCCGGCGAGUGGCGAACGGGUGAGUAAUAUAUCGGAACGUACCGAGUAAUGGGGGAUAACCAAUCGAAAGAUUGGCUAAUACCGCAUACGUCCUGAGGGAGAAAGCGGGGGAUCGCAAGACCUCGCGUUAUUCGAGCGGCCGAUAACUGAUUAGCUAGUUGGUGGGGUAAAGGCCUACCAAGGCGACGAUCAGUAGCGGGUCUGAGAGGACGAUCCGCCACACUGGGACUGAGACACGGCCCAGACUCCUACGGGAGGCAGCAGUGGGGAAUUUUGGACAAUGGGGGCAACCCUGAUCCAGCCAUGCCGCGUGUAUGAAGAAGGCCUUCGAGUUGUAAAGUACUUUUGUUAGGGAAGAAAAGGGAAGUGCUAAUACCACUUUUUGCUGACGGUACCUAAAGAAUAAGCACCGGCUAACUACGUG
rnacentral:rRNA from 1 species